rnacentral:rRNA from 1 species
GACAGAGGUGCCGAGCGUUAGGCGGAAUCACUGGGCUUAAAGCGUGUGUAGGCGGACUUCUAAGUACCUUGUGAAAUCCCACGGCUCACCCGUGGAACUGCUUGGUAUACUGGGUGUCUUGAGCCACUUAGGGGCUACCGGAACAAAUGGUGGAGCGGUGAAAUGCGUAGAUAUCAUUUGGAACGCCAAUGGUGAAAACAGGUAGCUGGGAGUGUGCUGACGCUGAGACACGAAAGCCAGGGGAGCAAACGGG